rnacentral:rRNA from 1 species
GACGAACGCUGGCGGCGUGCCUAAUACAUGCAAGUCGAACGCUUCUUUCCUCCCGAGUGCUUGCCCUCAAUUGGAAAGAGGAGUGGCGGACGGGUGAGUAACACGUGGGUAACCUACCCAUCAGAGGGGGAUAACACUUGGAAACAGGUGCUAAUACCGCAUAACAGUUUAUGCCGCAUGGCAUAAGAGUGAAAGGCGCUUUCGGGUGUCGCUGAUGGAUGGACCCGCGGUGCAUUAGCUAGUUGGUGAGGUAACGGCUCACCAAGGCCACGAUGCAUAGCCGACCUGAGAGGGUGAUCGGCCACACUGGGACUGAGACACGGCCCAGACUCCUACGGGAGGCAGCAGUAGGGAAUCUUCGGCAAUGGACGAAAGUCUGACCGAGCAACGCCGCGUGAGUGAAGAAGGUUUUCGGAUCGUAAAACUCUGUUGUUAGAGAAGAACAAGGACGUUAGUAACUGAACGUCCCCUGACGGUAUCUAACCAGAAAGCCACGGCUAACUACGUG